rnacentral:rRNA from 1 species
AGUGAACGCUGGCGGUAGGCCUAACACAUGCAAGUCGAACGGCAGCACAGAGGAGCUUGCUCCUUGGGUGGCGAGUGGCGGACGGGUGAGGAAUACAUCGGAAUCUACUCUGUCGUGGGGGAUAACGUAGGGAAACUUACGCUAAUACCGCAUACGACCUACGGGUGAAAGCAGGGGACCCUCGGGCCUUGCGCGAUUGAAUGAGCCGAUGUCGGAUUAGCGAGUUGGCGGGGUAAAGGCCCACCAAGGCGACGGUCCGUAGCUGGUCUGAGAGGAGGGUCAGCCACACUGGAACAGAAACACGGUCCAGAAUCCUACGGGAGGCAGCAGUGGGGAAUAUUGGAAAGUGGGCGCAAGCCUGAUCCAGCCAUACCGCGUGGGUGAAGAAGGCCUUCGGGUUGUAAAGCCCUUUUGUUGGGAAAGAAAUCCAGCUGGCUAAUACCCGGUUGGGAUGACGGUACCCAAAGAAUAAGCACCGGCUAACUUCGUGCCAUCCGCCGCCGUAA